GGGGUUCUAGGAAGAAUGGGGUUUGUUUACCCGGGAACAAGCCUGUAACUCUUGGGGAAAGUGGGGCGGAGAGGGGGGAAAUGCAGGAGAGAGGGAGAGAUCAAGGCAUCUCGGGGCUCAAAACAGUCAAAUUCAAAUUAAAAGGUCAAGACACGAUUCAGGAAACGGAAUCUGGAGAAUAACUUGUCUUUCCGGUUGCCCCGCAUUUCCCCCCACCCCGGACGAAGCCCGGGGUUUCGAUUUUCCAAAGGGCUGGAGUCUGGCAAGGCAAGGACCGGUGCUCAGGGCGCCCUGGCGUGGAGUGUGGAGGCUGGAUCGCUCCUGGAGAGGCCCAAGCCAGCGGCUGCUAGAAAAGGACUUCGGAAAGAAAUCAGCCGAACUCUCUCAUCCAGGGGGCAAGAGAGGAGGCACAGGGGUCUCUGGACCCCCGGGAAUCCUGGAAGAAAAUGUGUAAUGUGUGACUUGUUUGCAGGGCCAGCCAGGGGGAGAGUAGAAAGGGUUUUGUGUUUUCAUUUGCAGGGGUCGCCGUGGGCUCGGCGCAGGGGUUGGCCGGGGCAAGGUUAGGCUGUUUAGGCCCCAGACGAGACUUGGGACAGCCCGGGCGGCACUCAAUCCAGGGAGCCAUUUGUCCCACCGCCCACCCCGCGGGAAACGGCGGAGACUUUAUGGCCACUCUGUUUGUAUUAUCUGCAUAAGUCUUUCCCCACCAGUUUGAUCGAAACUGUUCGCUUUUACGAGGACCCAACGAAAAUUCCCCGUCAUAUUUAUCAGCCGGGGAUAAAAAUUUAGUAUGGGAACUGAUAUUUCCUCAUUUAUGGGGCGAUGAAAUUAAAGACCAAAGCAAUUGAGAAUUAUAUGGCUUUGGGGGGGUUCCCUCCCCCCCUCUUUCACAUCUCCUUUAUUUUCCCGCCUGGUGUGCCUGUCCCUGGAGUUUGGCGUCCCAGUCUCCUGCCCUUGCCCCCUGUUUGGGGGUCUGCUGGGCCCUCUCCUUCACACCCAGGUACCGCUUGGCCAACCUUAGCUUUUCCUAGUUUUUCUCUCGGUGUCCGUAACUGGGGGCCUCCCGGAGCCUCUGCCCCGGCCACGCUGGGAUCUGGCUGGGGUGGUGGAGGGUUGCCAAGAGCUUCGCAGGGGAAGAAUGGGAGCCCAGCCUGGGAGGGGGCGAGGAAGGGGGUGGGGGUGAAGAGGACAAACUCCAGAUUACCUCUCAAAAACAGCAAGCCCCAAGACUUAACCUGGGGAACUAACGGGAGAGGAGCGGAGUCACUCCGCCUCCGGACCGGCUCUCCCUACCAGCCCGACACCCACCCCAAACUCACUCCUUACCUCAGCCAUGGGAGGGGUUGGAGUCGCUUCAGAAUUCUUGCCAUUAUUAAUGGAAAUUAUCCCCCCCCCCCCGGAGAAGGAGCCUCCCGCCUCGGCUCUCACCUCCUCACAAGAACGAAUAGUGUUUAAAGUUGAAAUAAUUAAAAGUAUGAUAAACACGGCCCAUUAAUGAAAAAAGAAAUCAAAUUCAUCAGCCUAAGUGGGACCCCCGGUGGGACAAACGUUUGCCUCUAAUUACGCAGGAUAAACGCAAACCCGGAGCUGUUAAACGAGACCCCGAGCGGACGCAGACUUGAAUAACUUGUUGGGUUUUUUGCAGACUUUGGGAUUCUGCCCCAGUGGAGGCGAAAGAAAGGAAAGCGUGAGGGUGAGGAUGGGGGCGAGGGGGGCAUUUGAGCGGGUCCAAGGAAGUACAGUCGGAUGUGGGUCCCAGCCCUGCCCCCUUGGGCUCCGUCUUUUCCGAGGCCACGAGCAAAGGCCGCUUCCGUCCUAUUGUCCGGGCCUGGCGUUCAAAGGCACUCGGGCUGCCACGGCCAAGCCGCUGCCGGCACCCACCGGCCCUACCCCGCAGAGCCAAGACCCUCAGGCCUGCGCCCCUGGGGAACUGGAUUGGGGUCCCGAGAAGUCUGCGCUGCUGCAUUCACCCUGUUAAACCAUUUUCCCAACUUUCCGGGAGGGCUGAGAGACCUGUGCCUAUGUCUGACGCCGGGGCUCCCCUUCUUGCCUCAAUUUGGGGAUGUGAAAAUCCAAGGGCUGCCGGCCAGACCAGUGCUCAGGCUGUGCCUACUUGUCGACCAAUCCCACCCACCCGGAGAACCCUGGCAUUGUGUGCGCCUCUUCCCAGUAGGACAGCAGAACCUGGAAGGGCAGCAGGGAUGGGGGGCUGGGCCUGUGGGACUGGGAGUAAGACAGCAGACAAGGGUGCUCCUUGCUAGCUCCUUGCAUAUUCCAGGAACAUCGGUGGUUCCAGAGGGCAGGCUGAGGGCUGGGGCACUAGGGGUCCCCAUGUGAAAACAGAAGAAGGAAAAUGUAGUGCUCAACGAACAGAAAGGGACCGCGACUGUUUUGCGGGCUCUAGCCCUCCAAGUGCCCCCCAGAAACACCCCGAUUUUUCCAAGAAAAAAUUAGAGUGUCCCAAAGAGGUUCAGGAAAUCAUCUGGGAAAUUCCAAAGGUGAAGUGAAAAAAGGAAGAGUGUCUCUCCCUUUGGGGUAAAAUAAUAAAAUAAAAUAAUAAUGAAGUUUGUGUGUUGAAAUCUCUUCAAGUGAAAUGGAAAACAAAAUCACACCAGUGGUGAAAGUUGCAGGAGGUUUUCCUCUUGUUUUGGAGGCCCAGACAAAUCAUUUUCAUCCCAAAACUUGAAGGAAAAAUUUGCUUUUGACUUCACUGACACAAGGCUCUGGCCAGGCUGAGCUGGGAGCAGGGAAAUCCUGGGCAAACUGAAGAAUGCUCGGAAGCCCAGGAAGGCGAUUUUCAAACAGGUAUGAGAGAGACAUGGGAGACCCAGGACACUUGGAGGGACCUCUAGUCCACUCCGGAUCUCACAGCCACCCUGGCAACCCGGCCGUCAGAGUUCCUCUCACAUCUGGACGUUGUACACAUUUGCACCCAGAUGCUAUGGAAUUUACCCGUUCACGUACUUGUCGAAAUUGCGCUUAGUUGUGUGCACACAGCCACAAACAGUCACCUUUACCUAAAAAACACGCUCCCUGCACUCCCCAUAUCCUGAAGUCUGAUAAUCUAAGCCAGCACAACUGCAUUCUUGCCCUGCCGAAGCCAGCCAGUAAUUUUGCUUUGCCUCUUGAAUCGAAACCAGACAGAAAAGACUUUGGAAAGAAGCUUGGAGAGAAGGAGACAGAUGGGAGUGUGUCUUUGUCAGGGGGAGCCUUGCCCCCCACUUUAGCGAUUUGCUCCCAAGUUGCCCCAGUAGAUUGGGUUUCCAGCGGGAAGUCAGGGCUGUGGUCGGGCCGGCUUGCUCCGGAGAAAAACCCCAUUCCUCCCUUACCGACUAAAUUCCUUUUCGGAGAUCCGUUUUCCAUCUUUUUUUCUCCUUCCUUCCUUCCUUCCUUCCUUCCUUCCUUCCUUCCUUCCUUCCUUCCUUUUUGUUCAUCCUUCUUUCCCUUUAUUUGGUUCUUUCUCUUUCUCUUUUUCUUUUCUUCUUUUCCCCCUGCAAUUUAUUUUUUCCUUCAUUUUUUCUGAUCUCUCCUCUUUCUCAAUUCAUCGUUUUCUUCAUGUCCUUCUUCCCUUUUUCUUCCUUUAUUACACAAUUUGUUCUUUGCUCUUUUCUUUCCUCCUCAAUGUUUUCCUUCCCCCCCUGACUUUCUCCAUACCCUCCCCCCCCCCCCCCUGCCAACCUUUCUUGUUUUUCUCUGUUGUGCAGGGUUCAGGGAGGGGAAGGCGCCAGGCUCGGUCGCAUCUCUCCCCAGCCUCACUGCUCAGGCUUGGAGUUGACCUUCUCCUGCCUUCAGCCUUAAUAACUCGGCUCCGUACAAGGCGAAGUGUAUGGCUGCCAGCGGCCGGCGGCCAGGCCUCAGCAGUCGCCAUUAGAGGAAAAGAAAAGCGGGCACUGGGGCCCGUUCCUACUGACUCCGAUGGCUCCCUGAAGGGCCCGGUUCGAGGGCUCAGGUGUCUUCAAUUCCAUCACCGCAAAGGAGGCUCGUCCACCAGGUCUGUCUUUGGAGAAGUCGCUCCACCUUUGUCCUGAUCUCCAGAGCUGAACAGUAAAAUAGCCUUGACUUGAGCCCAACUGGCAUCCCCAAGGCUGGGGAAAUGAAGGAGUGGGGUUCUGUCAGUCCCAGACGAGUGGGGGUGGGGGGGACAGAUCCAAGGGGUCACUGGUGGGCUUAGCAGCCCAAAGCCAUGUUCCCACAUGAGCACCUUUGUUCUCUGAGCUUCCGGACUGCAGCCUGCUGGCCCUCCUUCUCCUUCAGUCUUGCAACCACUCAAGCCCUGGAACCUCUGGGCAGGAAUUUCUUGGCGUUUUGAAUCCUGUCUUUCUUCAAAACCCAGUGUGGACCUUGCAAGAAACAGGGAGGCAAAACUAUGUGUGUAGACUCUCCCAAAUCAGCGGUCUGAGUCAAGGUUAUGGGUCUCUACUUUGUGCAGUGGGUUGAGGGAGUGUUUGGGGCUGUGUGGGUGUGUGUGUGGGGGGGAAUGAUGUCUGCAAGAGAACAAGAGGGUGUGAUGGGGAAUGUCUGGGCCUGCUGACAUUGUCCAAACUUUGGGGGUCUGUGAGGGUAUGUCUCAAGAGCUGAGUGGCGGGGACUCUUGCAGGCCCACAGCCUCUGUUAGCCGGUAGCCCCCAAAGCUGGGUUCAAGGUGGGCCUCAGGAAGAAGCGGACUCCAACCUUUAAGCCUUGUUUUGCCUGAGGCAGAGCAAGGCAGCUUCAGACACCACUGCCUCCCCCACCCGGGCCCCAGAACCUCUCUCCCCACAACCUCCCAAAGAUCCUGAAAUUUCAUUCCAUGGCGAAACCAAAAGUUUAAGUUUUUUAAAAAGGGAGGAGGAAUCUUGUAAAACUUUUAUGCCAAACAAAGUUAUAAAAACUUCCCGGGCGUUGCCUUUUCCAAAGGUUUAUAUGAAUAAUAAAGAGUGUAGUCGCGUGCA